rnacentral:hammerhead_ribozyme from 1 species
GUCCUACUGAAGAGUCCCAAACUAGGACGAAACAGAUGUCCAGUAC